UACGUAGGGGGCAAGCGUUGUCCGGAAUCAUUGGGCGUAAAGCGCGCGUAGGCGGCCCGGUAAGUCCGUUGUGAAAGUCAAAGGCUCAACCUUUGAAUGCCGACGGAUACUGCCGGGCUAGAGUCCGGAAGAGGCGAGUGGAAUUCCUGGUGUAGCGGUGGAAUGCGCAGAUAUCAGGAGGAACACCUAUAGCGAAGGCAGCUCGCUGGGACGGUACUGACGCUGAGGCGCGAAAAGCGUGGGGAGCGAACAGG
rnacentral:rRNA from 1 species